rnacentral:misc_RNA from 1 species
GAAAUGCGAUAAGUAAUGUGAAUUGCAGACUUACGUGAAUCAUCGAAUCUUUGAACGCAUAUUGCGCUCACUGGUAUUCCGGUGAGCAUGUCUGUUUGAGUAUCAGUACACCCAUCUCUAACCCUCUCACGAGGUGUUGAGGAACAAGGUUGAGUAGCCCAGCGAGUUUUGACUGGCUGACUCGAAAAGUUGGUGCAAGUGUGUGUUAACAAAAUGAUGGCGGUUGAUGUUCAUGUUGACCCUGUCCGCAUGACUUCGCAGACCUUCACACACCAAUGUCCACAUCCUGUGGUAAGUGAGUGUCAUAACUCACAUAUCAAAUCCAGGUUGGAGGAUAUUCUUUGUUGUUGGUUUGUGUAUGGACUCGGGGUUCGACGGAAGAUCCAUUCGACAUCAAAAAAACAUACAAAUGAUUGCUUGCAUGUUGUAGUACGGAAUGACUUGCUCAUUCCAACCUUUAUCUAACUUGAUCUCAAAUCAGGCAAGAGUACCCGCUGAAGUUAAGC